rnacentral:rRNA from 1 species
UUCCAGACUCCUACGGGAGGCAGCAGUGAGGAAUAUUGGUCAAUGGGCGAGAGCCUGAACCAGCCAAGUCGCGUGAGGGAAGACGGUCCUAUGGAUUGUAAACCUCUUUUGCCGGGGAGCAAAAAGCGGUACGCGUACCGCAUCGAGAGUACCCGGAGAAAAAGCAUCGGCUAACUCCGUGCCAGCAGCCGCGGUAAUACGGAGGAUGCGAGCGUUAUCCGGAUUUAUUGGGUUUAAAGGGUGCGCAGGCGGCCUGUAAAGUCCGGGGUAAAGGCCGGGGGCUCACCCCCGGCGAGCCGUUGAAACUGGCGGGCUGGAGUUGGAGAGAAGUACGCGGAAUGCGCGGUGUAGCGGUGAAAUGCUUAGAUAUCGCGCAGAACCCCGAUUGCGAAGGCAGCGUACCGGCUCCACACUGACGCUGAGGCACGAAAGCGUGGGUAUCGAACAGGAUUAGAUACCCCCGUAAAG